rnacentral:rRNA from 1 species
AUCCUACGGGGGGCAGCAGUGAGGAAUAUUGGUCAAUGGGCGAGAGCCUGAACCAGCCAAGUCGCGUGAGGGAGUACUGCCCUAUGGGUUGUAAACCUCUUUUGUAGAGAACGAAAAGACACCUUUUAAUAAAGGGUGUUGCUGACGGUACUCUAAGAAUAAGCACCGGCUAACUACGUGCCAGCAGCCGCGGUAAUACGUAGGGUGCGAGCGUUAAUCGGAAUUACUGGGCGUAAAGGGUGCGCAGGCGGUUGAGUAAGACAGAUGUGAAAUCCCCGAGCUUAACUCGGGAAUGGCAUAUGUGG